CCGUACGUCAACGUCGCUGCCAUAUUGGAUGUGUUAAGGCUUCGCUGUAAAUGAAUACAAGGCGCCCCUGGGUCAAGCAUGAUUGCUUGGGCUCAAAGUGAACAAGGGAAGGUGCGUUCCAUUUAAUAUUUCCACUCUCCCUUGGCUCUGCAAGUGGCCUCCGUAUGAUGUCGGCAAUGAUGUCAUAUCAAGUGCCGAGGAGAAGUCAAUGAGGACAAUUCAUACUGCUAUUGGAACGCAGCCUAAAAGUCAUGCUCGUGUGUCUUGCUGCAAUUGUGUUCCAGUGCCAGGGGAGAGGAGUGGAGAACAGACAGGAAGUGACACCAGGGUUUCAGAGUUGACUUUUAGCUUGCCGUGGGUUACGGCUGCGAGAUCAUUCACACCUGCAAUAAAAGCCUGUUGUUCCGGUGAUCAAGUCUGGUGCUUGUGUGUCUCAUCCAACAUUACUGACACCAAGUGACCAGUGCACAACACUUCAUAGUACAACAUGUCUUCUGAAUGGCUUAUAUUUGUGUUUUAGUUCAUUUCGCCAUUUUCAUGCUUGAAAAUGCUUAAUUUAGGCAAAUAUCAUGUAACAUUUGCUCCAAUAUGCCUAUUUCUUGACAGGCUGUAUUCAUCCACAAAACAGCAUGAUUAUUGAAAAAGUGAUAGUGAAGUCGUGAAAUUGCCAGGGGUUUAUAUGCUAAACAUAUUUUUCAAACAGUAUGUACUUGAAGAAAGAAGUGUUACUCAAUGCUAAGUACAAGUACGGGAAUUCAAGACAUCCUUCCAGGAAUCAUAACUUUAUUAGGAUUCAAUUUCACUUUGGUCACCAUACAUAUUGAUGAAGAAUGUCACGUGGAAUUUGUCAGUCAAAAGUUUGUAAUGUGAGGUUUGUGCCUGUCUGUAAAAUCAAGAGGAUGUCAAAUGCAUGAUUUGGUUCUUGGGUACAAGUAAUGGUAAAAAAAAUAAAAAAAAAAUUAAACCAUACUGUGUAGCGGCUAAUUUUCUUCUGUGUGCAUAGGCUACAUGAGAACCAAAUCAUACACUUGCAUAAGAAGAGCUUGUGAGGGCUGCAUGUAGGCUACAAACAAAGUCUCAGGUUGUGAGAGAAGUAAAGAAAGCAGGGCUGCCCCUGGAGAACAUGAAAUGAAAAAGAAAUUGUACUAGAGCACUGAAAUUGUGUUAGCAAUGUAUCCGCUUUCUAAGGGCCGUUCAACAUUUGCAAAAGCUUUUAAGACAAAAAAACUUGUUUCCUUAUUUGGGUCAGUCUGAUACUGAAGGUUCUCCUAGUGUUGCAUUGCAUUUACAUUUAUUUAGAAAGUUGAGAACAUGCUGCACAAAAAAAAUAUAUAUAUAAAAAAAAAACAGGCAAUCCCAUGUUUAAAAAAAAAAAAAAAAAAAAAAACACUUCCUGGUUCCGACGCUAAA